rnacentral:rRNA from 1 species
UACAGAGGGUGCGAGCGUUAAUCGGAAUUACUAGGCGUAAAGCGCGCGUAGGUGGUUGUGUAAGUCGAGUGUGAAAGCCCCGGGCUCAACCUGGGAACUGCAUUCGAGACUGCAUUACUCGAGUAUGGGAGAGGGCAGUGGAAUUUCCGGUGUAGCGGUGAAAUGCGUAGAUAUCGGAAGGAACAUCAGUGGCGAAAGCGACUGCCUGGCCCAAUACUGACACUCAAGUGCGAAAGCGUGGGGAGCAAACAGG